GACGUAGGGGCGCGAGCGUUUGUCCGGAUUUAUUGGGCGUAAAGAGCUCGUAGGCGGCUUGUCGCGUCGAAUGUGAAAACCCUGCAGCUCAACUGCAGGCUUGCAUUCGAUACGGGCAGGCUCGAGUUCGGUAGGGGGAGACUGGAAUUCCUGGUGUAGCGGUGAAAUGCGCAGAUAUCAGGAGGAACACCGGUGGCGAAGGCGGGUCUCUGGGCCGAUGACUGACGCUGAGGAGCGAAAGCGUGGGGAGCGAACAGG
rnacentral:rRNA from 1 species